AUUGAACGCUGGCGGCAGGCCUAACACAUGCAAGUCGAACGAGUGGCGGACGGGUGAGUAAUGUCUGGGUAACUGCCCGAUGGAGGGGGAUAACUACUGGAAACGGUAGCUAAUACCGCAUACCAUCGGAUGUACCCAUGUGGGAUUAGCUAGUGGGUGAGGUAACGGCUCACCUAGGCGACGAUCCCUAGCUGGUCUGAGAGGAUGAUCAGUCACACUGGAACUGAGACACGGCCCAGACUCCUACGGGAGGCAGCAGUGGGGAAUAUUGCACAAUGGGCGCAAGCCUGAUGCAGCCAUGCCGCGUGUAUGAAGAAGGCCUUAGGGUUGUAAAGUACGUUAAGUGGGGAGGCGUUACCAACAGAAGAAGCACCGGCUAACUCCGUGCCAGCAGCCGCGGUAAUAC
rnacentral:rRNA from 1 species